rnacentral:rRNA from 1 species
UACAGAGGUCCCAAGCGUUGUUCGGAUUCAUUGGGCGUAAAGGGUGCGUAGGCGGCGCGGUAAGUCGGGUGUGAAAUCUCGGAGCUUAACUCCGAAACUGCAUUCGAUACUGCCGUGCUUGAGGACUGGAGAGGAGACUGGAAUUUACGGUGUAGCGGUGAAAUGCGUAGAUAUCGUAAGGAAGACCAGUGGCGAAGGCGAGUUUCUGGACGGUAACUGACGCUGAGGCACGAAGGCCAGGGGAGCAAACGGG